UACAGAGGUCCCAAGCGUUGUUCGGAUUCACUGGGCGUAAAGGGUGCGUAGGCGGUCGGGUAAGUCUGAUGUGAAAUCUCACAGCUUAAACUGUGAAACUGCAUUGGAUACUAUCCGGCUUGAGAGUUGGAGGGGGGACUGGAAUUCUUGGUGUAGCAGUGAAAUGCGUAGAUAUCAAGAGGAACACCAGUGGCGAAGGCGGCUCUCUAGUACGGUACUGACGCUGAGACGCGAAAGCGUGGGGAGCGAACAGG
rnacentral:rRNA from 1 species